rnacentral:rRNA from 1 species
UACGUAGGGGGCAAGCGUUGUCCGGAAUCAUUGGGCGUAAAGAGCGUGUAGGCGGCCCGGUAAGUCCGCCGUGAAAGUCCAGGGCUCAACCCUGGAAUGCCGGUGGAUACUGUCGGGCUAGAGUCCGGAAGGGGCGAGUGGAAUUCCUGGUGUAGCGGUGAAAUGCGCAGAUAUCGGGAGGAACACCAGUAGCGAAGGCGGCUCGCUGGGCCAUUCCUGACGCUGAGACGCGAAAGCUAGGGGAGCGAACAGG